UACGUAGGGGCCAAGCGUUAUCCGGAUUUACUGGGCGUAAAGCGCAUGUAGGCGGUUUGCUAAGUCGGACGUGAAAGCUCCUGGCUCAACUAGGAGAGGUCGUUCGAAACUAGUAGACUGGAGGGUGGUAGAGGAGAGUGGAAUUCCAGGUGUAGCGGUGAAAUGCGUAGAUAUCUGGAGGAACACCAGUGGCGAAAGCGGCUCUCUGGACCAUUCCUGACGCUGAGAUGCGAAAGCCAGGGGAGAGAACGGG
rnacentral:rRNA from 1 species